GGGCCGGUAGUUUAGACUGGUAGAAUACCUGCCUUGCAUGCUACUACAGGCAGAGGAUACGUAGGUGGUCGUGGGUUCAAAUCCCACCCGGUCCA
rnacentral:tRNA from 1 species